UACAGAAGGUGCGAGCGUUAAUCGGAAUUACUGGGCGUAAAGCGUGCGUAGACGGUUACGUAAGUCGGGUGUGAAAGCCCCGGGCUCAACCUGGGAAUUGCAUUCGAGACUGCGUAGCUAGGGUGCGGAAGAGGGAAGCGGAAUUUCCGGUGUAGCGGUGAAAUGCGUAGAUAUCGGAAGGAACAUCAGUGGCGAAAGCGGCUUCCUGGUCCAGCACCGACGUUCAGGCACGAAAGCGUGGGGAGCAAACAGG
rnacentral:rRNA from 1 species